GACGAACGCUGGCGGCGUGCUUAACACAUGCAAGUCGAACGGUGAAGGGACCGGUUUUUGCUGGUUCUGGAUGAGUGGCGAACGGGUGAGUAACACGUGAGUAACCUGCCCCCUUCUUCUGGAUAACCGCAUGAAAGUGUGGCUAAUACGGGAUAUUCUGCGCCUGCUGCAUGGUGGGUGUGGGAAAGAUAUUGUUUCGGUGGGGGAUGGGCUCGCGGCCUAUCAGCUUGUUGGUGGGGUGAUGGCCUACCAAGGCGGUGACGGGUAGCCGGCCUGAGAGGGUGGACGGUCACACUGGGACUGAGACACGGCCCAGACUCCUACGGGAGGCAGCAGUGGGGAAUAUUGCACAAUGGGCGCAAGCCUGAUGCAGCGACGCCGCGGGAGGGAUGGAGGCCUGCGGGUUGUAAACCUCUUUCGCCAGUGAAGCAGGCCUGUCCCUUUUGUGGGUGGGUUGACGGUAGCUGGAUAAGAAGCGCCGGCUAACUACGUG
rnacentral:rRNA from 1 species